CAACACCAUAUUUUAUGGUGUACUAUUCUUAGAAAUAAGUAUGUUAGAAUGGGGCAUGGUAAAAGAGUCAUGCUUAUGGUGCAGAAUUCAGCAAAACCAUUAUUAAUAUAAAUGUAUUUGGCAUGUUACAGGUUUUAGCAUGCGAAAAAUACAGCAGGGCUCAACAAAUCCGAGGUAGCCACUGCGACUAGAAAUUUCACCCUGUCACCUGGGAUUUGCCAGCUCUUUCGUUAGUGUGGACGCCGCGGGAGCUUUGACGGAGGCCGUCACAGGGAAUAUUGAAGGCGGGCAGCGUGCAAUGGAGCAGUACUGCUCUGUUCUCCAUCGCACUGUCAAAUCAUCCCGGGAGCUGGAAUCAUUACAUAGCAGAGAGGAGCUACAGGCAGAGUACUACUCCUUCGCACACAGGACGAGACCCUGGACCCCAUGGAAAGACCCACUCAGCUCUCCCAAAGGCAGGGAGGCUGAGUGGGUUUCAAUUAAAACAAAAAUGUAAGUGUGUAAGAGAGCCUGUUUUUUAUGUGUGUGUGUGAGAGAGAGAGCCUGUCAAGAGUGUGUCUGUGUUUGUCUUAGAAUGUGUGUGUGCCUGUCUUAGAGUGUGUGUGCGAGCCUGUUGUCAGCGUAAGAGUAUGUAUGAGCGUUUAGGUAUCUGCGCCCUCCGAUUGCAUUAAGGGAGGUGUUUUUACUCCCCUUUUUUCUAUUUUCCCACGCCGUGCCAGUUUCGCCAUGGCUGAGAUUACCAACAUUUAUGAUCUCAGCUAAGCCAAUGAUUUCCCUUAGGAAAGCAUUGGGAGGAUUUUGUGCAUGUGCAGCAAAUGUACCAAUCCGCAUCUACUCCUAGAGAUGCAUUAAAUUAAUUAAUCUCUAUGAGGAACAUUCAGCGCCUCCUUGCAGAGCUUGGAGACACUGAACCUGGGUGCUGUACAUAGUGCAGCAGUGACCCAGGAAUCUCUAGUGGCCAACUGAGUGACUGUCACUAGAGGUGUUACUAAGCAGCAAUGUAAACACUGAAAAGCCUGCAGGGACAGGCUAUAGACACCAGAACAACUACACCAAGCUGUAUUGGUUCUGGUGGCUAUAGUGUCCCUUUAAGAAUUGCAUUUUCUUGUUGAAAAUUACUGGCUCGUAGAUUCCAAACAAAUUUAUCAAGCCCUGUACUGGUGUAUUAGUUUGUUUUGGUGCCUUUAAUGCCCCUUUAAUUAGAAGACAACAGAUAACCCAUCACUCUAUAUCAAAG